CCUACGGGUGGCAGCAGUGGGGAAUAUUGCACAAUGGGGGAAACCCUGAUGCAGCGACGCCGCGUGAGCGAUGAAGUAUCUCGGUAUGUAAAGCUCUAUUUGCAGGGAAGAAAAUGACGGUACCUGUCUAAGAAUCCCCGGCUAACUACGUGCCAGCAGCCGCGGCAAUACGUAGGGGGCAAGCGUUAUCCGGAUGUACUGGGUGUAAAGGGGGCGUAGACGGCUGUGCAAGCCAGAUGUGAAAGCCCGGGGCUCAACCCCGGGACUGCAGUUGAAACUGGGUGGCUGGAGUGUCGGAGAGGCAGGCGGAAUGCGUAGUGUAGCGGUGAAAUGCGUAGAUAUUAGGAGGAACACCAGUGGCGAAGGCGGCCUGCUGGACGAUGACUGACGUUGAGGCUCGAAAGCGUGGGGAGCAAACAGGAUUAGAUACCCUAGUAGUC
rnacentral:rRNA from 1 species